GGAGGAGAUCACUGCGCCCACCGGCAGCACGAGUAUCUCCGAGCGAGAGGAUCUACCCGAGCGCUGUCGGGACGAGGGGACCCGACUUGCUCUCCAGUCUGAGUCACUGCAUCAGGCCUCUCUUCCCAGGCUCCAAGUUUCUUCCAGCCAUAACCUUCACAAGGCUUACGAAAGUGAAAGUUGCUAAGUCGUGUCCAACUCUUUGUGACCUCAUGGACUAGAGUCCGCCAGGCUCCUCUGUCCAUGGAAUUUUCCAGUUGAGCCAUGUGGGACCUAGUUCUCUGACCAGGGAUUGAACCCGGGCCCCCUGCAUUGGAAGCAUGGAGUCCAAACCACCAGAUCACCAGGGAAGUCUCUCAGGUGUUUUAUCAGAGGCUCCAAAACUGUGAACAGGAGGGGGUCAGGUGCUCCAUGUCGGUCAUGCUCAAAGAUGAUGCAAAGUGCAAAGGCUAGAAAGAAAUGUCCUGGACUUCAGACUUCUGGUGCAGCUCAAGGUCCUCCUUCCCUUUCAGGUCCAUCAGCCCAAGGUGGAGAAGGAUGGGGGCUGCCAGACGGGUUUCUCUCCUGUGGCUCUCAAGGAAGUACUGUUGUUGUUCAGUCGCUCAGCUGUGUCUGACUCACUGUAACUUCAUGGACUGCAGGAUGCCAGGCUUCCAUGUCCUUCACGAUCUCCUGGAGUUUGCUCAGAUUCGUGUCCAUCGAGUCAAUGAUGCCAUCCAACCAUCUCAUCCUGUUGUCCCCUUCUCCUGCCCUCAGUCUUUCCCAACAUCAGGACUUUUUCCCAUGAGUCAGCUCUUCGCACCAGGUGGCCAAAGUAUUGAAGCUUCAGCUUCAGUCCUUCCAAUGAAUAUUCAGGAUUAGUUUCUUUUAGGAUUGACUGAUUUGAUCUCCUUUCUGUCUGUCCAAGAGACUCUCAAGAGUCUUCUCCAGCACCAUAAUUCAAAAGCAUCAAUUCUUCAGCACUCAGUCUUCUUUAUGGUCAAACUCUCCCAUCAGUACAUGACUACUGGAAAAUCCAUCGCUUUGACUAGAUGGAUCUUUGUUGGCAAAGUGACGGUACUGGGGGGCAAUGCAAAAAGUCCUGUGAAAUAUUAAAAAUAUCAAAAGCAAAAGUUUUAAAAUAUUAAAAAUAAACUUUUCCAGGAGGUUAGAAAGGCUGUAAUAGCAAAUUGUUUUCUGUGGUUAAAAAAAAAAAAAAAUGCUUAAAGUAGGACUUAAAGGAAAUACAUGUAGCCAAUGCAAUAUAUAUUCUAUACUUCUAUUUCCUUAGUCAUAUCUAUUGCCCUGUAUAAACCACUAUUUAUUAUUAAUUACCUGCUUAUUAUGCGCUGAACACUGUUAACCCCUUGACAUUCAUUCCUUUAUUAUCCUCUUAUAAGUAAGACGGGCGUCACUGGUAGCUCAGCUGGUAAAAGAAUCCACCUGCAAUGCAGGACACCCUGGUUCAAUUCCUGGGUGGGGAAGAUGCCCUGGAGAAAGGGAUAGGCUACCUAUUCCAAUGUUCUUGGGCUUCACUAGUGACUCAGACAGUAAAGAAUCUGCCUGCAAUGUGGGAGACCUGGAUUGGGAAGGUCCCCUGGAGGAGGGUGUGGCAACCCACUCCGGUUUUUUUGCCUGGAGAAUUCCCCAUGGACAGAGGAUCCUGGCGGGCUACAGUCCAUGGGGUCGCAGAGCCGGACAUGACUGAGCGACUAAGCGCACACAAACUGCAUUUUCUUUGGGAAUGAAAGGCCGCUGCUGUGGCAGCACCUAGGGUUAUAGAACCUGGAUAUCUAGAGAGCUGAGGCACUUUCUCGUAAGCUUGCUGCAACCCUUCAGAGGAAGAACAAGCAUUUUAGGUCCCCUUCCCUCCUUCCUUCAUCCCGUCUUCUGUUUAGCCUUGAAGUUUUAGCAGAAGUUUUCCCUGUGUCUUAAGACAGACACACCUUAGGUCAUCCCUGGAGCCAGCAUUACUAUUUACACUGCUGCUUCAGAUUCCAAGUAGAAACUGACUUUUGUUCAAUGCAAAGAACCCAGGGAAAAAGAAUUGAAGGAAACCUAAGACUUGAGGAAGUUGAAAGCUCUUUGGCUGAAUAUUUUUCUAUGAACAAAAUGGACUGAAUUUGGGGGAAGUUCAUCCUUGAUUUGUAUUCCCUUUCCAGUUGUACUUUGGACUUUGUGCUCAAACAUCCACAUUGUUUUCUUCUCCUUAAAAUUUCCUAUAAUUUUGCUUUCAGGAAAUGACUCACCAAUACCAGAGCAACACAAGCAUGUUAAAACAUUUUCUGGAUGAAAGAAUCACCUUUAAUGGAUCCUCUAAGUGUUGUUUCAGGAAUUAACAUGAGAAAGGUCAUAAAUAAAGAGACAUCCUUUUAUUUUUAAAUCAACAAUACUGGUGAAGUUCUUGGUUUCCCAAAAUGUGCUUUUUACACAACUGAACCACCUGAGUGCUACAAAGAAUUCCAUCCCAAU